AUGCCACAUUUCAAACAGGAGGGGGCCGAGAGAAAAUCUGAAGAUUUGUCAGCUGCUUCUAGCGGUUGUUAUAGCGGAACUGUUGAUACCUUUACCUCUGGUGUGUGUAAGAAGAAAAUGUCUGUUCUGGAAGGCUCACGGAGUCUCUUUAUGCUUAAAUUGAGCAAUGCUGGAGAGCAAGACUCUUCCUGAUCAACAUGGGUCCACCAGAGGCACAUUGGAAAUGUGAUAGAAAACGGCUGCCAAUUCAAAAGCAGGAAAAGAGCAAACCCACAUAUACAGCAAGAGAGCUGUGAGCUGGACUGGCUCCCAGCAGAAGUGAGACUGGGAAUUUUGGAUUCAGAUUGGUUGCCUCUUCUCUCCUCUGUGAUGUGGCAGAAGAUGUCAGCACCUAUGCUUGAACUUAGUCAUUACUGCUUACUUCCCAAACUUUUCCCAGCUCUCUGACUCCCUCGAGUCUUAGCUUCCUCAUUUGUGAGUUAGAGAUGAUGGGCUCUUCAUGCUGAGGCUAUUGUGAGGGCUCAAUGGAAGCACCAAGCACGGAUCCUGGG
rnacentral:lncRNA from 1 species